rnacentral:rRNA from 1 species
AGAGUUUGAUCCUGGCUCAGGACGAACGCUGGCGGCGUGGAUUAGGCAUGCAAGUCGAGCGACGGGCCUUCGGGCUACGGAGCGGCGAACGGGUGAGUAACACAUGAGAAACCUACCCCUAUUCCGGAUAAUUGGAAGAAAUUCCUUGUAAUACGGGGGAGGAUCCGACCGAGGCAUCUCGGACGAAUCGAACAAGCAAUUGGUGCAGGGACGGUCUCGUGGCUUAUCAGGUAGUUGGUGGGGUAACGGCCUACCAAGCCUACGACGAGUAGCUGGUCUGAGAGGAUGGUCAGCCACAUUGGAACUGAGACACUGUCCAGACUCCUACGGGAGGCUGCAGUCGAGAAUCUUGGGCAAUGCACGAAAGUGUGACCCAGCGACGCCGCGUGAAGGAUGAAGGCCCUCUGGGUCGUAAACUUCUUUUAUGGGAGAAGAAACAAUGACGGUAUCCCGUGAAUAAGCCACGGCUAACUACGUGCCAGCAGCCGCGGUAAUACGUAGGUGGCAAGCGUUGUCCGGAUUUACUGGGCGUAAAGCGAGCGCAGGCGGAUGGUUAAGUAGGAAGUGAAAGGUUGGAGCUCAACUCCAACAUUGCUUCCUAUACUGGCUAUCUAGAGUGCGGAGGGGAAAGCGGAACGAUACGUGUACCGGUGAAAUGCGUUGAUAUGUAACNGAAACGCCAAUGGCCGAAGGCAGCUUGCUGGGACUGGGAACUGACCCCUCAUUGCNCCCAAAGCCCAGGGUANCGAACCUGGAUGAA